rnacentral:rRNA from 1 species
GACGAACGCUGGCGGCGUGCUUAACACAUGCAAGUCGAACGGAAAGGCCCUGCUUUUGUGGGGUGCUCGAGUGGCGAACGGGUGAGUAACACGUGAGUAACCUGCCCUUGACUUUGGGAUAACUUCAGGAAACUGGGGCUAAUACCGGAUAGGAGCUCCUGCUGCAUGGUGGGGGUUGGAAAGUUUCGGCGGUUGGGGAUGGACUCGCGGCUUAUCAGCUUGUUGGUGGGGUAGUGGCUUACCAAGGCUUUGACGGGUAGCCGGCCUGAGAGGGUGAACGGGCACAUUGGGACUGAGAUACGGACCAGACUCCUACGGGAGGCAGCAGUGGGGAAUAUUGCACAAUGGGCGGAAGCCUGAUGCAGAAACGCCGCGUGCGGGAUGACGGCCUUCGGGUUGUAAACCGCUUUCGCCUGUGACGAAGCGUGAGUGACGGUAAUGGGUAAAGAAGCACCGGCUAACUACGUG